GCAUAUGCGUAGUUGAUUUCUUGAGCUAUGCAUGAAUGUAGUUAUCUAAACUUUAUGUUAGAUUCUGAUUACCAUUUUAUGUCUCGCUCUAGUUUAGUUAUGAGAAGAUAUGCCAUGGGUUUGUAACUUUUUAAACAUCAAAUCGUAAGAACAUAUCGUUUGUUAAAAUUGGGGAUAAAUUAUCUAUAAUUUCAGUAUAUCAGAUUUUGCAUUUGGCUCAGUAUUAGUUGGUCUUCUCUCUCUCUCUCUAAAAACCCUCUGUCUUCUCUCUAGUACAUCUCAGAUCUGAAUCGUGUUUCCGGCUGGCGGUUCCGGCUCUCCAAGCCACCGGCCGGCGGUUCCGGCUCUCCAAGCCACCGUCGGCCAGGUUUGUUUGUUUAUUUGUUUCUUUCGUGUUGUAGUUUGCUUCUAGUCUCUCGGUUGUUUAGUUGGCUUUGUUUUUGUUCUUUCAAUUUUAGAUCUAAAUCUUAAAUCCAUUCGUUGAGCUUUUGGUUUUGGUUGGUGCUGAUUAAGGAGUCUUUGAACAUGCUUGGAUCUUUGUAUCUGGUGUUUUUGGACCUGGUUCUUCCCCACCGUUUGUUUGGUAAGAUAUCCGGUUCGUCUCGAAGGUUUUGGGGCUUUGGCUCCUUAUCAUCAGUUCGUCGAAGGCGUCAGGUUUACCGACCUCUUCCAUGAGUCUUCUUUGGAGAUGUCAAGUGCUCGUUGCUUCUUAAGUGGUAUGUUGUGGUGACGUUUGGAGCAUAAUAAAGAGUGUAGCCUUGAACUCCAUUAAUAAGUUUGUUCUUUGUUGACUUUAUCCUUCUUCUCUUUUUUGUCCCUUCCAGUUUUAACAUUGUUCAGUUAUUGUAUUGUUGGAUCUGUUCUGAGUUUGUUUCA